GUCGAGAAUCUUUCGCAAUGGGCGAAAGCCUGACGAAGCGACGCUGCGUGAGUGAUGAAGGCUUUCGGGUUGUAAAACUCUUUCGCGCAAGAGCAAAGUGUAUUAGUGAAUAACUGAUACAUGUGAGAGUACUGCGUAAAGAAGCACCGGCUAACUCCGUGCCAGCAGCUGCGGUAAUACGGAGGGUGCAAGCAUUAAUCGGAAUUAUUGGGCGUAAAGGGCGCGUAGGCGGGAUUAAAAGUCAGAUGUGAAAUUCCGAAGCUCAACUUCGGAGCCGCAUUUGAAACUGCAAUUCUAGAGGGAUGGCGGAGGAAACGGAAUUCCACGUGUAGCGGUGAAAUGCGUAGAUAUGUGGAAGAACACCUGUGGCGAAAGCGGUUUUCUAGCUUUUACCUGACGCUGAGGCGCGAGAGCAAGGGGAGCAAACAGGAUUAGAUACCCUGGUAGUCCUUGCCGUAAACGAUGUAUACUUGAUGUAG
rnacentral:rRNA from 1 species